ACGAGACCUUAACCUGCUAAAUAGCCCGUAUUGCUUUGGCAGUACGCCGGCUUCUUAGAGGGACUAUCGGCUCAAGCCGAUGGAAGUUUGAGGCAAUAACAGGUUAACCUUCACAGGCCUGUAAAAGCAGCCUGACUGCUAGUCCAGCAUCUUAAUCUUCUCGGGGAAGCCCCCAAUGUCGGGAGAAGACGCAGCUCAGCUGCUCGAUGCGGGCGACACUACCUGGUACAGGGAACGCCGGAGCUCUGUAC
rnacentral:rRNA from 1 species